CCGGCGCACGGGUGAGUAACACGUAUGCAAUCCACCUGUAACAGGGGGAUAACCCGGAGAAAUCCGGACUAAUACCCCAUAAUAUGGGCGCUCCGCAUGGAGAGCCCAUUAAAGAGAGCAAUUUUGGUUACAGACGAGCAUGCGCUCCAUUAGCCAGUUGGCGGGGUAACGGCCCACCAAAGCGACGAUGGAUAGGGGUUCUAAGAGGAAGGUCCCCCACAUUGGAACUGAGACACGGUCCAA
rnacentral:rRNA from 1 species